ACACACACACACACACACGCACACACACACACACACACACACACACACACACACACACGCACACACACACACACACACACACACACACACACACACACACACACACAUACAUAUAGGUCACUGUGUGAAUUCAAACACAUGGACUGUGACACUGGCGUUCCUCAUUUCAGCUCUGUACAGGAUGUGUGGUGCUGUGAAAGAAACCAUAAACAGGACUCAUGAAGAAACAGAGCUUGACUCUGUUACUAUGUUAGUUGUAGCAGAAGCUCACUCCGUUAGGCUGCAUGAAGCUUCAUCUGCUCAUCGUACUGAUUUCAAUGGAAAAAUCUUGCUUUUGGGUUUGCAUUGCAAUUCGCAGGUCAACAUGUACAUCUAAGCUAGUGGAAGUGUUUGUCAGACAGGUCACAUGUGGCUCAGACUGCCUUCACUCUGCUCUCACUCCAACAGCCUGCCCACUGUAAGGAACAGGAGGAAUACUACUACUACUACUACUACUCGGUAGGGCUGUCGCAUUGAAGGAAUUCCCCCUGCAGUGACAAUGAUUGGCUCAACAGGGCGAUAUGCGGUGUUAUUGCAAUUUAUUUAUUUCGGUUAAAUGGUCCAACCAGGAGAUUAGAAACGGUUUAAAGUGUCUGCCACACAGUAUUUAUUAUUUUUGUAAUGUGACUGCCAUGGAAAUGAACUUUGAGAACUGUGGCUUACAUAUGUAAACAAAGCCCACACACUUACGAUUGUGUUUUUGCAGAAAUUAUCCGAAAAAAGUCUCCCAGUUAAUAACCUUCAGUAUGAGGAUGAUAUUCUCCAGCAGACUGAAGCGUGCUCAGAGCGGUGGGAAUGACUCCGGUGGCAGUUUGAGUUGAGAGCAGAGUGACGGGAUCCGUGCUUCUGGGGCACAGUGAUGAGUUUCAGUUUUGUCAGGGUAACCCUCGUUGGUUAGAUGGGUUUGACAGGUUACCAUGACGACUGGGUAGUGGGUUAUGGGUGUUAGUCUAGUUUGACCUACAUGAUAUAUAGCUAUAUUUUUUUAAGGAAGCAGGAUGGAUAUGAGCCUCGCUAUUAAACCCUUUCCUCCUCUUCUUCUUCUUGUUUUGCCGAGUCUGCCCUGACUUCUUCAGUUGGACGUCAGGUGCAGACGACAGUAGCUUGUUUGGAGGUUUGCAUACUGUAUCAUUGUUCUUGCAGCAUACUUCAUAUACUGUAUUACUUUCCUAUUUCAUAAUGGGUAUAAAAGCUCUAAAGUAAGUUUAAAGUGAAUUUAUAUCCUUGGGUUUAAAUCUUUGCUUAUAGUGUAAUUAUCUUAGUCAGAAUCCAGUUUCAGAUUUUGCUUUGUCAUUUUUGUUGCGUUGAUUUUUUCUGAUUUGUAUUUAUUGUUUGAUGAAUGAGUGUAGCCUUCUGUGGGAAUAAUCUUGAUGCUUUUGUUCCCAUUUUACUAGCUCUGGUAGUCAACUAAACUAUCAAUAAAGCUGGUCAUCUUCUGCCUCUCUAUAA